GAUGAACGCUGGCGGCGUGCCUAAUACAUGCAAGUCGAGCGAACAGACGAGGAGCUUGCUCCUUUGACGUUAGCGGCGGACGGGUGAGUAACACGUAGGUAACCUACCUAUAAGACUGGGAUAACUUCGGGAAACCGGAGCUAAUACCGGAUAAUAUUUCGAACCGCAUGGUUCGAUAGUGAAAGAUGGCUUUGCUAUCACUUAUAGAUGGACCUGCGCCGUAUUAGCUAGUUGGUAAGGUAACGGCUUACCAAGGCAACGAUACGUAGCCGACCUGAGAGGGUGAUCGGCCACACUGGAACUGAGACACGGUCCAGACUCCUACGGGAGGCAGCAGUAGGGAAUCUUCCGCAAUGGGCGAAAGCCUUACGGAGCAACGCCGCGUGAGUGAUGAAGGUCUUCGGAUCGUAAAACUCUGUUAUUAGGGAAGAACAAACGUGUAAGUAACUGUGCACGUCUUGACGGUACCUAAUCAGAAAGCCACGGCUAACUACGUG
rnacentral:rRNA from 1 species